AUUGAACGCUGGCGGCAGGCCUAACACAUGCAAGUCGAACGAGUGGCGGACGGGUGAGUAAUGUCUGGGAAACUGCAUGAUGGAGGGGGAUAACUAAUGGAAACAGUAGCUAAAACCGCAUACCAUCGGAUGUGCCAAGUGGGGAUUAGCUAGUAGUUGGGGUAAAGGCUUACCUAGGCGACGAUACCUAGCUGGUCUGAGAGGAUGACCAGCCAAACUGGAACUGAGACACGGUCCAUACUCCUACGGGAGGCAGCAGUGUGGAAUAUUGCACAAUGGACGCAAGCCUGAUGCAGCAAUGCCGCGUGUAUGAAGAAGGCCUUCGGGUUGUAAAGUACUUUCAGCGGGGAGGCGUUACCCGCAGAAGAAGCACCGGCUAACUCCGUGCCAGCCGCCGCGGUAAUUC
rnacentral:rRNA from 1 species